UCAGUGGCCGAGGGGAUAACGCGAUGGCGUUUGAAGCGAAAGGUACUGGGUUCGAGUCCCAGGGUGA
rnacentral:tRNA from 1 species